rnacentral:lncRNA from 1 species
CAAGAAAAUGCGAGGUUGGAGGAGGAGCUUUAAAUGGAUUUGGACUCCUCAGGAGGAUUUGCUAAUGGUCUGAACAAGUGAAUAGAGCACUGCAAAAGAUUUGUAUACUAUUCCCGUUUUGAUCUUUUCUGCCAAUCUCUACCAAGAACUUGAUUAAAGAUCUGAGACGCUGUCCCUGGCCUACCCAAGUUUUAAUCUUCUCUUAAAUGUCAACUCAAC